CAGGGAAUCUUGCGCAAUGGGCGAAAGCCUGACGCAGCGACGCCGCGUGAGGGAAGAAGGCCUGCGGGUUGUAAACCUCUUUUCGGGGGGAAGAAGUUCUGACGGUACCCUCGGAAUAAGCCUCGGCUAACUACGUGCCAGCAGCCGCGGUAAUACGUAGGAGGCGAGCGUUGUCCGGAUUCACUGGGCGUAAAGGGAGCGCAGGCGGCCGGGUCCGUCGGCGGUGCAAGCUCCAGGCUCAACCUGGAGAGGUCCGCCGAUACCACUCGGCUUGAGGGCGGUAGAGGAGCACGGAAUUCCUGGUGUAGUGGUGAAAUGCGUAGAUAUCAGGAGGAACACCUGAGGCGAAAGCGGUGCUCUGGGCCGGCCCUGACGUUCAGGCUCGAAAGCGUGGGGAGCAAACCGG
rnacentral:rRNA from 2 species